ACUUAUUAUUUUCAUUCCCAGCCAGGUGGGCUGAGCUCCCGGACCAGGCCCCAAGAGACGCUUUGCAGAGGCUGCCUGAGCCAGCAGCUGUCCCUGCAAUCCUGCUGGUCGCAGGUGGAGAGCGGGGCCAGGUGGGGAAGGCACCAGGAUCCUGUCUUCUGAGGUCAGGCUGAGGCAUCCUGAGCGUUCAGCCUGAGCGGAGACUCCUCCUGCCAAGAGAUGGCCAUCUCCAGAUGUCUGCAGGCCGGAGGGAGCCAGCUAGCCUGUGGUGCCUGAGGGCAAAGACAGGACUAAUGGAAGGAAAUUACAUGGAGAGAUUUCAUCUGAGCUUGAGGAAGCACUGUCUACCAGUCAGAGCAGGCCAACCAUGGCCCAUUGCCGACAGAGGCGGUGAGCUCCCUGUCCCCAGAGGUGUGCGAGCAGAGGCUGAGGGGAUUUUUACCCUCGUGACUCCUCUCAGGCUUUGGGCAGUCCCUUGUACUUCCUGUCUGCUCUGCCCCUCACUCGGCCCAGUUGAUCCUACUACAAGCAUCUGACCGAUUGAUUGCAGGCUCAGAGAUGAUGAAUACGAGGAUGGUGAUGAUGAUGAUGAUGGUUUGGUCCAUGAUGCUUCCCAGCGUGGUGGGUCGGGUGCAGGCUGGAGUGUGGCGAGGCCAGACCAUGUACACAGAUCCUUCUCCAUGAGUGGUAAACUCCGUGACGGCAGAGGCUGCAUCUGGCACAUAGGAGGUUUCCCUGGAAAGAAGCCUUCGGAGGUGGUUGUCUCCACAGCACAUGUGACAGCUACCAAAUAUCAAACCUCCAUACACACACAGCUCCCUUCACGUGCUUGAAGAUCCCUCCAUCAGUGC